AUACUUACCUGGCAGGGGAGAUACCAUGAUCACGAAGGAAGGUGGUUUUCCCAGGUUGAGGCUUAUCUGUUGCACUCCGGAUGUGCUGACCCCUGCGAUUUCCCCAAAUGCGGGGAAACUCGACUGCAUAAUUUGCGUUCACGAUCUCCCUUGGGGGUGGG